GGGGAUAUAGCUCAGUGCUUAGAGUGCCUGCUGAGCAUGCACGAGGUCCUAGGUUCAAUCCCCAGUACCUCCA
rnacentral:tRNA from 1 species